GCCAGCAGCCAUAUCCCCCUGCAGCUCUCACCUGACUACCCCCUGAAGCUAAGGAGGGUUGAGCCUGUUGAGUAUGCGGAUAGGAGACCUCCUGGGAAGCUACGGUUCCUGCUGGAA
rnacentral:rRNA from 1 species